rnacentral:rRNA from 1 species
AUUGAACGCUGGCGGCAGGCCUAACACAUGCAAGUCGAACGAGUGGCGGACGGGUGAGUAAUGUCUGGGAAACUGCCCGAUGGAGGGGGAUAACUACUGGAAACGGUAGCUAAUACCGCAUACCAUCAGAUGUGCCCAGAUGGGAUUAGCUAGUAGGUGGGGUAACGGCUCACCUAGGCGACGAUCCCUAGCUGGUCUGAGAGGAUGACCAGCCAAACUGGAAAUUAGAAACGGUCCAGACUCCUACGGGAGGCAGCAGUGGGGAAUAUUGCAAAAUUGGCGCAAGCCUGAUGCCGCCAUGCCGCGUGUUGGAAGAAGGCCUUCGGGUUGUAAAGCACUUUCAGCGGGGAGGCGUUACCCGCAGAAGAAGCACCGGCUAACUCCGUGCCAGCCGCCGCGGUAAUUC